rnacentral:rRNA from 1 species
UACAGGGGGGGCAAGCGUUGUUCGGAAUUACUGGGCGUAAAGGGCGCGUAGGCGGUGUGUCAAGUCAGGCGUGAAAGCCCCGGGCUCAACCUGGGAACAGCGCUUGAGACUGGCACGCUCGAGUUCGGGAGAGGAUGGUGGAAUUCCCAGUGUAGAGGUGAAAUUCGUAGAUAUUGGGAAGAACACCAGUGGCGAAGGCGGCGACCUGGGCCAAUAUUGACGCUGAGGUGCGAAAGCGUGGGGAGCAAACAGG